CGGAUGUCAAAUACGGAGUGACAAUAGAAACAAAGUUUCUUGGUAAUCGUAUCGGUAAAACAGUAAAACGUCGGUAGGCCGACGUACAAAUGUCACGUCUAUUCUGUACCUCGUGGAUGAGAUAAUCACUGACGAGUCCUCUCUGAUAAUUCCUAUGUUCGCCGUUGAAAAUCGUAGAGGGCGUAAGAAACAUUUUGACUUUUUGACAGGCGAUAUUUCAUAACCUAUGACACAAAAUUCCAUUUCGUCAUGUCUAAUCUGUCCUUAGUAAAUAUUUUAUUCGGCUGGCGCAUAGUGCCGUGAAAUUGCUGGUAAACAGUAUUGACGCAUACGCUGCCACACUUAUAGGAAUAAUUAUAAGCAGAAUUCACAGUAGUAGUAACGAUAGCUUUUCGUUAAUAACACUUUAAAGAGUAACGAGCGUCGACUAAAACCUCCUGGAGGUUGCUCAGGAGAGUAUCCUUGAUAACGAUGUGUCAAGAUCAAGGUCAUCGUAGCUGACUUCCAUAUUGUGAAUAAUUAACAGAUCAUUAUCAUAUUUACUAUUACGAAGCAACCAGUUCCUGUUCGUAUAACUUUUAAUGUCUAUACAUAUACCAAAUAAGUUAUUGAUAUAUUUCUUUAAAAAUUCUUCUAUAUUUAAAACGAAAGCUUUCAACGCAGAGUGAAAGACGAAUUUUAUCUUCGAGAUAAGCUGCUUCCAUAUUAUGACAGAAAGCUGACGCAAGGAUUUUAGAAAAUUCUGACAAUAGCUACUGUAUCUCAUCUCUGGUAUUAGACUAUCAAAUACAAUGAAGCAGACAAGAAGGUUGUUUAAAAAGGAAUGUAUGAAAUUAUAAUGUACGAGGAGGUGCAAUUUCAGGAUGAAAUAAUCUCAACAACGUUAAUCUUUUCAUUUUAUUGUACCAAAAAAUUUCAUCUCGUUCAAUCAUUAUUAAUUCAAUAUAAUAUAUUUAUCCUUUAUAUUUGUUAUAUCUUAUUUAUAAUAAAUAUUUAUAAUAGUGUA